CCAAAGUACUGGGAUUACAGGUGUGUGCCACUGUGCUCAGCCAUUAGAGGAAUUUUUUUUUUUUUUUUUUUAAGGUGUUGACAAAUAUAGAGGAUUUGGAGAUUUCUGACAGAUUUUGGAGGACAUCAUAUUUUCUUCUUUGACUGCAAAUCCAGCUGAGCUACCAUGGUACUGUUGUAGAGAGCUUCCAUUUCUCUGAGUAGCUUUUCUUAGAACAUUAACCGCCCCGCACCUUUACCUUGUGCCUCCACCCUGCAAGUUUUUAAGCACAUUUGUGAUUGAGUAGAGGGGAGAGCACUCUGGGGAGAGGAAGUCACAGGGCAAUGUGGGUGCUGCUUGCUGAUGACUGAGCCCCCUCUACCCUCAAAGUAAAAAGCCAAACCCCGUGAGUGAUGCUCUUUCCCCCAGGAAUCUGACUUGGCUUUGCCACCAGACUCUUUUGCUUACAAAACCACUUUCUCUGACAUGUCUUCCUGACCAUGAAUUGCUUUUCCACACUAUUGUCAGGGUAGCACUUUCUGGGUGCCAUGUGUAUUAGUCUGUUUCCACAUUGCUAUAAAGAACUGCCUGAGAUUGGGUAAUUUAUAAAGGAAAGAGGUUAAACUGACUCACAGUUCAGCAUGCCUGGGGAGGCCUCCGGAAACUUACAGUCAUGGCGGAAGGCGAAGGGGAAGCAAGGCACCUUCUUCACAGGGCGGCAGGAAGGAGAAUGAACACAGGAGGAACUAGCAAACAUGUACAAACCCAUCAGAUCUCCUGAGAACUCACUAUCAUGAGAACAGCCCAGGGGGACCACACCCAUGAUCCAGUUACCUCCACCCGGUUUCUCCCUUGACGUGUGGGGAUCACGGGGAUUAAAGGGUUAUAAUUCAAGAUGAGAUUUGUGUGGGGACACAGGGCCUAACCAUGUCACCAUGCCCGUGUAUUACUGGUUAUGUUUCACGCCAGAGGCCUUUAUUUUCCUGUGCUAUUUCUUGGUAGGUUUCCCUGUGAACAGUUAGGUAGAGUCCCAGGGACAUGGGUCCACUCUGUGUCUGUAUCUGUGACGGUGAACUUCAACUUGUUCCAGGGCCACAUCCCACAGCUACAGCUCAGGAAUCCCUUUGCAAAUGUGAGCUAUUAGUGGUAGUGGGGUCUAGAGAAGGGGGUGUGGACUGGCCAGUGCAAAUCUAUUGUCACUGCAGGAAAAGCCCCUCCCAGAGCUCUCUCUGCCUUGACCUGGUGGGAGUGCGGCACAUUCCAUUUAAUCUCCUGAUAAAUGACAAUCGACCCUCUACUUUGGAGACAGCGUGAGAUUAGACUGUGAAACAUAGGAGCUUGGGAUAACUGAGUCAUUGUGCAAUUUUUGGAAUCAUCUUUUAUUUGGCCGAUAGUAUCUUUUUUGAUUGACUUAUACCAAGUCUCUGUCAGGUAGUGAAAUGACGUGAAGCUGCAGUGUGUGGUGAGCAGAUGAGCAUAACCUUCCUUGCUUAUGCUGAUUUCCUGCAUAUAUUCGUGCAUUCUGAAUGAGCUGGCCAAGGGUUGGACGUCUCGUAUUUGUAAAGAAUAUUUUAGAUUUUCUUGUUAAAUAAGCUGAUUUCUCAUUUGUCACCGUUUAUGUCUCUUGAUGUUCCAGGCUUAGAUUUGGCUUCUUUGCCUGAUGGGAUGAGCAUUUCUGGAGCAUCUCCUGUAUGCCAGGCACCGCGUCAGGCACUGGAGAGGUGUCACAGUGGCUAAGGCAGCAUCCAUGCCUGACGGCGCAUUUGCAGAAGCAGAUCCUGGUGCAUGUGCCAGUUUGUAAAGUCGCAUAUACCAUUCUUGGUCUGAGCACUGGGGCUUUGGGCAGAAAGGAAGUGGGCACAGUGAUACAGGAGAGACGUGCAGAGUUUCUGUUUUUGUUUUUGCUGUUACUGUGUCGGGCCUUGUUCCUGUUGCUGUAGAGCUCAUAACCUAGUAGGGAAAAUGCUGGAACCAAGACUUUAUCAUUCACUAGCUCUGUGACCUGGAUAGUCUCUCCUCCCUGAGCCUUGCUGGCUUCAGCGUUGUAGCACUAGAUGCUCUCUAGGCACCCUCAGCUCAACUCCGUUGCCCCGGCAAUGUCCCCACACCAGAGCUUCCACCAGCCAGCCUUCCUAUCUCUCAGUGACCUCUGGCACUUUUAGAUGGCUGAGCUAAAAGCGCCUGAUUUUGUGAAUCAGGCUUGUGUGAGUUGAGGAAAUGUUGUGUGGGAGACAGUUGACUUUCUACAAGUGAAGAAGAAAAGGAAACACAAUCCCAUAAAAUAUACGUUUUUUAAAAAUGGAAAGGGGGACAGGAAAGCAUUGGGGAGAAUAGCUGCAGUCAUUGAAGAAAGUAUUUCAACUUCAGAGUUUGGGGUGCACCCCAGCUUUUCAGCCGCAUGCACACCUACCUAGUCAGUCCCAAACAUCUUUCCCCCUUUUCUUCCCUUCUGGUUCUGUGCUGCCAACUGACUCAACUCUGCACCCUCCUCCCCUGAAGUUGAGGCCCGAGAGGACAGAAAUUGGGCUGGAACUAAUUUAAUGGCUGAGUGACCUCACAGUAGAGAAACAGCCGGAUCCUAAUAGGGGUCUUUGUCUACAUUUCCACCCUGGCUGGUAGCAUGCCAGUCAAGAGUCAAGCUGGAGACACAGGUGGAAGCGAUUAGACCUGUCAUAAAGUUUGAAAAAUUGAUUCUGGAGGCGAAGUGAAUAGAUUGAGCUUGACAGUGUUGUCCUAAAGAUUCUAAGGGAAAAUUCUAUAGUUUAAUUUGAAAUCCCUUGAUUAUUCAUUAGCUUUCCAGAUGGCUUUUGUUGAUGUUUUACAUAUUAAUGCCUGUAUUGUGUUAUUGGUGUACUCUUAAUGUGCACAUAGGUAAUGAGCAAAGAAUAAAUACAUUGGUAAGUGUCCCAAAUUAAUGGGAUAUUAGGGUAAUUGUGAAAGGGUUUUAAAGACGUUGAUUGCUUGGAAUAAUUAGUGCGAAUUUUUUUAUGUGUCAGUUUGGUACUUUAAAAGUGAAAAUUAUUGAAGAAUUUUUAAAAAUCUUCAUUUUAAUAUUUACUUCUAAAGUUUAAAAUGUAACUUUAGCCUUUGACUUUGGCAGCGGUGUGACAGAAGGGUUAUUCUGGCAAGUUCUCCAUCAAAACUUUGUUGUUGUUGUUCUAAUUCAACACAUGAAUAAGUUAACUUUUCACAUGCCAAGCUCCUGAAGUUGAAUUAUCCUGUGGCCUGGUAUUUUUCAGAGAUGCUUCUACAUUAACUUUUAGUGUUCUUGGUUGUUUGUUUUCGUGUUUUGUAACUGAUUUUUUAAGUAGGGGAGAGUUCUGAUGUUUACCGUUUAUGAUAGCGAUAGUGUGUUCUAUUUGGGUGACAUUUUCAUUAGAACUCACCGUCCCAGUGUCCUCUCAGCAUUGAUGCUGAUGUCUUCAUCAAUUUGGGGUGCCAUCCACUGAGUGACCUGUAAACAA